CAGUCGCCGCGGGAAUACGGAGGGUGCGAGCGUUAAUCGGAAUUACUGGGCGUAAAGCGUACGCAGGCGGUUUGUUAAGUCAGAUGUGAAAUCCCCGAGCUUAACUCGGGAACUGCAUUUGAAACUGGCAGGCUAGAGUCUCGUAGAGGGGGGUAGAAUUCCAGGUGUAGCGGUGAAAUGCGUAGAGAUCUGGAGGAAUACCGGUGGCGAAGGCGGCCCCCUGGACAAAGACUGACGCUCAGGUGCGAAAGCGUGGGGAGCAAACAGGAUUAGAGACCCCAGUAGUCCCUGUCUCUUAUAA
rnacentral:rRNA from 1 species